rnacentral:snoRNA from 1 species
AAACCAUGCAUCAGACAUUUCUUAAGUAAUUCCUUGAAUCGAUUCCAAGCUUCAUAUAGUGUUUCAUCCUCCAAUUUCUGAAAAUAUGUGAUGUCAUUCCUAAACUU